rnacentral:rRNA from 1 species
AUACGGAGGGCGCAAGCGUUGUUCGGAAUCAUUGGGCGUAAAGCGCACGUAGGCGGCUCAACAAGUCGGGUGUGAAAUCCCGGGGCUCAACCCCGGAACUGCACUCGAAACUGUUGGGCUGGAGUCUCGGAGAGGAAGGCGGAAUUCCCGGUGUAGAGGUGAAAUUCGUAGAUAUCGGGAGGAACACCAGUGGCGAAGGCGGCCUUCUGGACGAUGACUGACGCUGAGGUGCGAAAGCGUGGGGAGCAAACAGGAUUAGAAACCCCAGUAGUCC